rnacentral:rRNA from 1 species
AUUGAACGCUGGCGGCAUGCCUUACACAUGCAAGUCGAACGGUAACAGGUCUUCGGAUGCUGACGAGUGGCGAACGGGUGAGUAAUGCAUCGGAACGUGCCCAGUUGUGGGGGAUAACUGCUCGAAAGAGCAGCUAAUACCGCAUACGACCUGAGGGUGAAAGCGGGGGAUCGCAAGACCUCGCGCAAUUGGAGCGGCCGAUGUCAGAUUAGGUAGUUGGUGGGGUAAAGGCCUACCAAGCCGACGAUCUGUAGUUGGUCUGAGAGGACGACCAGCCCAACUGGGACUGAGACACGGCCCAGACUCCUACGGGAGGCAGCAGUGGGGAAUGUUGGACAAUGGGCGCAAGCCUGAUCCAGCAAUGCCGCGUGCAGGAAGAAGGCCUUCGGGUUGUAAACUGCUUUUGUCAGGGAAGAAAUCCUCUGGGUUAAUACCCCGGGGGGAUGACGGUACCUGAAGAAUAAGCACCGGCUAACUACGUGCCAGCCGCCGCGGUAAUAC